GGGAACCCUAAAAAUGCCUAACUCAGCAGUACAGCGAAAAUGGAGACCUAGGAGCCAGAGUCGCAGACGUGAGGCCUGUCCUGCAGACCCAGGAGUGAGUCCUCACCCGCCCCAGACUCUGGAGCUCCCAUUCUCUGGAACCUUCAAGACUCUGAUGCAGAAAAUAGAAAGAGGCACCUACUACCGACUGCGCACUCCUAAUUCUGGCAUGUGACAGAUAGAAGCAGUGACUCGCUGUGAGGGGACAGUUAGAGACAGGGUGGCAGACUGGCCCAGGGUUUGGGCAUGCAUUAGAGGAUGGAAAUAUGACUGUCACAAAAGCCUAAAUCACAAUCCUCUGUCACACCUCACCUCCACCCUGACUUUCUGCUCUUUACAGAGCCAAGCAUGGCAUCCAGUUACUAAAUAAACCAGCCUUUGGUCUUGUCCCGCCCCCCAGAGGUCAGAAAGGGGGAUAAGGAGGAGGAAACAGAGAGAAGACUAGGGGGUUGGAGGCCGGGAUAGAGAGCAGGCAACAGUUUGAAACUAUGUGGCUGGGAAACUUGGGUAGCUCCCAAGACCUCCCCUGUUGUGGAAUAUUUAAAGAUGUGUUACAUUUA